rnacentral:lncRNA from 1 species
AUGCAGUUUUUCAUAAAAUUUCUUGCACUCACAGUUACUUUUGCAGUUUCAUUCCUAAUUCACUAUAUUAAUGGGCAAUUUGAGUUGGACACGAACUCAGAUAAUGAAAGUGUCCGAAAGGCUCAGUUCAAGGCAGCACCAGCUGCACCCGUGCGAGACACGUUAUUUGAGACCUUUAGAGGCAAAACCAUUUUCCUGACUGAUCCUGAUUUUCCUGGCCCAAAGAGAUUUCGCAGAUCGGCGGCAGCAGCGACAACACAUAAAACUGAUCAUUCAAGAAAAGGCCAUGCGUCUCACAGACAUGAGCAUAACAACGAGCACAAUUAUGCUCAUGUAAACACACACGAGGACAAACAAGAGGACAAAAACGCUCAUGCUACGCAUACUAAUGCUAAGGAGACGAAAACUGCCUCUGAUUACAGUAAGGACAAGGCAAAAGAUGCCGGAGUGACCCCAGCAACGGCAGCUUUAUCAGACAAGAACAAAACGCACGUUGCCCAAGAGGAACAUAACCAUGAGGCAGCAAUAGCAAAACAGGACGAGGAGAAAGAUGCCAAUGAGGACUACGACGGCGAUUUCAGUGCUGAUAUCAUUGAGCCUCCUUCAUCUCCAGAAAUUACUCAACUUAGUGAAACUUGCUUGCAAGUAAAAUGGACGUCAGGUUCGCCAAGGGACAGAGGGGUCAAAGGAUACAAAGUUGAAUACCUCAAAGGAAAUCUCAGCCACAUUGUCGGUGGGAGGCAUAAUUGGCAAGUAGCUGCGAAGAAAGCCAAGCCGAAGUUCAGAGUUUUGAGAGUGGAUGGUCUGGAGCCAGAAGCGAUGUACAGAUUCAGGAUCGCGACAAUCUACGCUGGAAAUAAGUAUAUUUACGGCCUCUCCUCAGGAUGGGUAAAACUGUAACGAUAUAGCUGACGCGACGCUUUCAUCAAUUAACUGUGUUGCCAUGUGAGAUGACUUUAUUAAACAGCUUGGUAAUACCGUUUCAAAAAAUUGAAAAUAUAGGUAGAUUUUCUAUCCCUGUAUUUUCCAGCCUCCAGCACAAAGUCUAAAGCUCUGAGUCUUCGGAAUUUUAACUGAACUCGGUAAAACUAUGGAGGGGCGAGAAAAGAAAGUUUUUUUUAAGCGUGCCUAUAGGGCUCGCUUUUUGAAAUCACUCGGAUGUACUGUAGUACAGCACACCGAUCGACCAAUGCUUUUCAAGGGGCGGUCCGAAUUUUUUUUCCGUCGGAUCCGUUCUUCCGUUUUUGAACCGUUAUAGUGUCAAGCCCUGAAGGUCAUUCAUCGAGAAACCGAAUUAUCCUGUUACUGGAAACCCUUGAGAACAUUUUCCCGUGGAAACCGUAUUAUUUUCUUUCAUAGGUACGUCAAAUAAGCUUUUCUACGCUCGGAGGAUUUAAAUUAGAGGUUUAAAUGCCGCCAUAACUAUUUAGCGAAUCAGCGUCUUUUCAAAAGCGGUUAACCCAAGUUGGCUGCAUCUCCAUAGUUACAACUGCAGCGAAGUGAGCAAUCUCCAAUUCGACCAAUUGGAAGGCAGAGUUUUGGAGGUUAGGUUCCCUUGUUGAUUCUCUGAGUGUAAGUUGCUUUUUUUUUUUUUUUUUUUUUUUUUUUUUUUGGUCAGGUUUUUUUUUUUUUUUUUUUUUAUUUCCAGAAAAGAUACCUUAAAGUCUCAUUUUAAUACAAAUCAAUCGAAGAAAAGAGAAAAGACAAAGUUUGACUCAUUAAACAGAGUAAACUCCAUACUCUGCUGCUGCAAACUGAGCAAUCUCCAACAUGACGCAACAAACUGAACAAUUUCCAAACUUUAAUUUGAAAUUCUGAAUGAACCAAUUCAGUUAAAUGAUUUAUGAUGUUAUUUUCUUUGUUCAUCCAAUAUAAUUAUGUUACUUUCUUUAUUCAAUAAAAUGUAUUUUCAAUAAAAUGUAUUUACAUUCAACGGUAUCAAAUCAAUAAUUCCUCCCCAAUUUGCAGAGAGUACUAAUUUAUACACAUCUCGUUGAAAUGGAAAUAGUGCACACACUAGAUUUCAAUUAUUCGGCACGCUUUUCCAACAUAUUCAUGUUGGAUGUUUCUUCUUGUUUUUUUUUUUUUACCAAUGAAACAAUUUUAUUGAGAUAUUUAGAAGGUGGAGCAGUGGUAGACAGUGCACUGUCCGAAGGCUUAAGUUUACAAUUUACGUGAAAGAUACCUAUUUGUUACAUGUGUAUUAUGUUCGUCCCCUAUGUAAUCCCUGGUGAAAAAAAGUUACUUAUUUCUAAUUAAGUGUUGAAGGUCCUCUUCCUUCCCCAUUUGUUUCCCUAUAAAAGUUUUAAGUUGGGCUGAGAGAGAGUCAUUUUCAUUGCCCAGCACCUUAUUUUCUUUUGCAA